AUCAUGUUGAAAUACCGGUUCCCGUACGACCAGCGAAGUUAAGCAACCUCAAGCCUGGUCAAUACGUAGAUGGGUGACCACUUGGGAAUUCAAGGUGCUGUAUG